rnacentral:rRNA from 1 species
CCCCCCUGUUAACAAAAACAUGUCUAUAUGAAGGUGUAUAUAGUUUAGCCUGCUCACUGAUAAAAUUAAAGAGCCGCAGUAUUCUGACUGUGCGAAGGUAGCAUAAUAAAUUGUCUUUUAAAUAAAGGCUUGAAUGAAAGGUUGGACAAAGUAUCAUCUGUUUCUUAAAUAUUUAUUGAAUUUGACUUUUAAGUGAAAAGGCUUAAAUAAUCCAAAAAGACGAUAAGACCCUAUAAAUCUUUACAAUAAAUAUGUUUUAUAUUUAAGUUUAUAAGUAAAUAAAACAUAAAAAUAUAAAUUUGUUGCGCUGGGGCGGCGUAGAUAUAUAAAUUAACUGUCUAUAGUUUAAAUACAAUAAUCAUUGCUUAAUAUAAAUUGAUCCUUAAAUAGAUUAAAAGAUUAAGAUACUUUAGGGAUAACAGCGUUAUUUUUUUUGAGAGUUCUUAUCGAAGAAAAAGUUUGCGACCUCGAUGUUGAAUUAAAGUAUCUCUAUGGUGCAGCCGCUAUAAGAGAGAGUCUGUUCGACUUUUAAUACUUUACAUGAUUUGAGUUCAGACCGGCGUGAGCCAGGUUGGUUUCUAUCUUUUGUUAAAUAUAAUAUUAUUUUAGUACGAAAGGAUUAAAUAAUUAAAAUAUUUUUAUAAUUUAGAAUAUUAAUAUUCU